rnacentral:lncRNA from 1 species
CUUCUUUGAAUAUGCAGUAAACAAUAGCAAAAAUUGUUCAACUCCUCAUUAGUAUUGAGAUUAAAAGACAAUACAUAGCAAUGCUUAAACCCCAGUGUAUAUAGUUACCUCGUUUCCAAUAUAUCAACAGGAGAAACUUGGAUAGAUGUGCUCCUGAAGUGGCGACAAUCUUCGUUCGAAGCACUGUCAGAAAACGUGAAGCAGGAGGCAGCCAAACCUACGAUACACCCUGUCGGAUCGUCGACAGUACUAUUGUCUAAGGCGAUGUCGGAGAUGGUAAGGCGUGUGGGAGGGUUUUCGAUUUUGUGGGAUCGGGCUUGGGAGAAUGAAUUUGGGGGGUUUUUGAUUUGGGAGAGUGAGUGUACGUGUGGGAUUUUA